UACGGGGGGGGCGAGCGUUGUUCGGAAUUACUGGGCGUAAAGGGCUCGUAGGCGGCCAACUAAGUCAGACGUGAAAUCCCUCGGCUUAACCGGGGAACUGCGUCUGAUACUGGAUGGCUUGAGAUUGGGAGAGGGAUGCGGAAUUCCAGGUGUAGCGGUGAAAUGCGUAGAUAUCUGGAGGAACACCGGUGGCGAAGGCGGCAUCCUGGACCAACACUGACGCUGAGGAGCGAAAGCCAGGGGAGCAAACGGG
rnacentral:rRNA from 1 species